rnacentral:rRNA from 1 species
UACGGAGAGGGCUAGCGUUGUUCGGAAUUACUGGGCGUAAAGGGCUCGUAGGCGGCCAACUAAGUCGGACGUGAAAUCCCUCGGCUUAACCGGGGAACUGCGUCCGAUACUGGAUGGCUUGAGUUCGGGAGAGGGAUGCGGAAUUCCAGGUGUAGCGGUGAAAUGCGUAGAGAUCCGGAAGAACACCGGUGGCGAAGGCGGCCUGCUGGGCAGUUUAGCUGACACUGAGGCGCGACAGCGUGGGGAGCAAACAGG